AGAAUCAACGCUGGCGGCGUGCCUAACACAUGCAAGUCGCACGAGAAAGUGGAGCAAUCCAUGAGUACAGUGGCGCACGGGUGAGUAACACGUGAAUGAUCUACCUCCGAGUGGGGAAUAACUGAGAGAAAUCUUAGCUAAUACCGCAUAAUACCCACGGGUCAAAGCAGCAAUGCGCUUGGAGAGGAGUUCGCGGCCGAUUAGCUAGUUGGCGGGGUAAUGGCCCACCAAGGCGAUGAUCGGUA
rnacentral:rRNA from 1 species